UAGGGAAUAUUGGACAAUGGGCGCAAGCCUGAUCCAGCCAUGCCGCGUGAGUGAUGAAGGCCCUAGGGUUGUAAAGCUCUUUCACCGGUGAAGAUAAUGACGGUAACCGGAGAAGAAGCCCCGGCUAACUUCGUGCCAGCAGCCGCGGUAAUACGAAGGGGGCUAGCGUUGUUCGGAUUUACUGGGCGUAAAGCGCACGUAGGCGGACUAUUAAGUCAGGGGCGAAAUCCCGGGGCUCAACCCCGGAACUGCCUUUGAUACUGGUAGUCUUGAGUUCGAGAGAGGUGAGUGGAAUUCCGAGUGUAGAGGUGAAAUUCGUAGAUAUUCGGAGGAACACCAGUGGCGAAGGCGGCUCACUGGCUCGAUACUGACGCUGAGGUGCGAAAGCGUGGGGAGCAAACAGG
rnacentral:rRNA from 1 species